UACGGGGGGGGCAAGCGUUGUUCGGAAUUACUGGGCGUAAAGGGCUCGUAGGCGGCCAACUAAGUCGGAUGUGAAAUCCCCAGGCUUAACCUGGGAAUUGCAUCCGAUACUGGAUGGCUUGAAUCCGGGAGAGGGAUGCGGAAUUCCAGGUGUAGCGGUGAAAUGCGUAGAUAUCAGGAGGAACACCAAUAGCGAAGGCAGCUCGCUGGGACGUUACUGACACUGAGGCGCGAAAGCGUGGGGAGCGAACAGG
rnacentral:rRNA from 1 species